CUCAGCCACAUCUGUACCUGCCCCUUGCCAAAGCCUCUGGCUUUUGUCAAACUAAAACACGGGUUUACUCUCUUGAGAAAGCGCAAGCUCCAUCCACCAUGUGGGAGGGGCUCACAGGGUCCCCUCACAGCCAAGGCGGCCCUGGCCGUGGGCCGCUCUGCAGCAGGGCCAGGCAGCAGUCAAGGGUGGGGGGUGCUCCCCAAGGGCCUGGCAGUGCCUGGAGCGCAGCACAGUGCAUGUUGAAACAGGCAGCCAAGCAGAGCCAAGCACCUCCCUCCUGCCACAGGGAGGCACAGGCCGGCCAAGCCACAGAGGCCCACAGGGCGCAGGGAUGUCCAUGGCACAGGCAGGGACAGAGAUGGCCAGAGCAAGCUCCGUGCGUGUGUCAGGCGAGGAGGCCAGUGUGAGAAGCACCGGGACCCUAGACCCCUUGUUGCCUCUGGUGAGCGCCCUCCCAACCCUGCAGAAGAGAGGGUUAUUAGGAAAGUACGGACUGGAGCAUUCUAGACAGGGGAGCUGGCCGACGGCACAUGAAAAAACUGGCUGAGUGAGCCCUGCUCAGACAACCUGCUCGGGCUGUGAGGGGCACACAGCCUUACAAAGCCAGGAAGCUGGAGAACAAAGAUCCUCCCUGUCUCCCCAGCCCUCCACACAGAGGCAGAAGGAGGGGACUCUCCGCCCUGACCGUGCAGCCACUGAUGGCACCGGCUCCUCAUCCCAAGGGGGAUGGGACAGCCAGUGCCCAUCAGGAGGUAUGGAGUGAGUGCCCAGCAGUGCGCCCCCUGCCCAGCACUCGCUUCUGCCACCUCACUCACCACCUCUGACCACCCUGGGCAUGGCUCCUGGAGAGAAGGUCUGAGAAAACAAGCAAGAAAAAUCAGCAGCUACAAAUUCCAGAUUUUCGGUCUGCGCCGUCUCAAACAUUCCAUGUUCUUGAUGGUCCCUGCUACAGUUUGAACGUAUACCUCCAAAUCUCUACCAUGGUGUUGGGAGUUGAUCAGGUCCUGCGGGCCUGCACAAGACACGAGAGCCUCAUAAAGGGCUGGAGGGAACCAGCCUCAGUCCUCCGCGUCCUCUAUCUCCUCCGCCAGGUGUGAAGUUUGAAGCUGCUGGAUUCAGGCUUGCUUGUCCCAAGAAGAGGACUAGGACAGUGCUCACGCAUCUUCAUUGCAGAGAAUUCACUCGGGCAUUGAUAUCAAGAUUGAGCUGGCUAGAUGCAGUGGCUCACGCCUGUAAUCCCAGCACUUUGGGAGGCCGAGGCGGGUGGAUCACGAGGUGAGGAGUUCGAGACCAGCCUGGCCAACGUGGUGAAACCCCGUCUGUACUAAAAAUACAAAAAUUAGCUGGGCGUGAUGGUGGGCACCUAUAAUCCCAGCUACUCGGGAAGCUGAGGCAGGAGAAUCCCUUGGACCCAGGAGGCAGAGGUUGCAGUGAGCCAAGAUCACACCAUUGUUCCAUUGCUCACCAGCCUGGGACAGAGCGAGACUCCAUCUCGAAAAAAAAAAAAAAAAAUUAAGAGAGGGCCGGGCACGGUGGCUCACAUCUGUAAUCCCAGCAAUUUGGGAGGCCGAGGCAGGCGGAUCACCUGAGGUCAGAAGUUCAAGACCAGCCUGGACAACAUGGUAAAAUCCU
rnacentral:lncRNA from 1 species